CUGUAUCCUGUGCUAUCUAUUGACUGGAGUCCGGGAGAUGAUGCCGCUAAACUUUGCGAAAAUCUGAAGGAAGACGAUUUCGGUCCCGACCUUUAUGUACAGCAAGGUUUGUACGAGGAGGUCAAAAGAAUUGAGCCAUCAAGCAGUAUCGUAGAAUCAGUUCAACCCAGAACAUAUAUUAUACUAGGGUUUAAGAGUCUUGAAUCCAGUGUAUCUAGUGUUCUAGAGUCAACCUGGAGAGACUGGACGGGAGCUAGGU